rnacentral:lncRNA from 1 species
UAGACUUCUUUCUCCAGGCUCCCGUUGUGUGGCUUGGCUGCCCACUACCUCAUUCCCAUCAAUGGACAAUGGCUGGGAGAGAAACCCUCCGUGACUGUAUAUCAUGGAACAGUCUCCACUCCAGGUUAUGGAUCCACUGUUGGGCAGUUCUACACUGCUCACAUCUGGAUGCCGAUUCUGCCAGCAAAUCCAUCUGAUUCUAUCUCUCUCCGGUCUGUCUAACUCUAGGUUCUGCA